CUCAAAGGAAUUGACGGGGACCCGCACAAGCGGUGGAUGAUGUGGUUUAAUUCGAUGCAACGCGAAAAACCUUACCCACCUUUGACAUGGCAGGAAUUCUUCAGAGAUGAGGAAGUGCUCGAAAGAGAACCUGCACACAGGUGCUGCAUGGCUGUCGUCAGCUCGUGUCGUGAGAUGUUGGGUUAAGUCCCGCAACGAGCGCAACCCUUGCCAUUAGUUGCUACGAAAGGGCACUCUAAUGGGACUGCCGGUGACAAACCGGAGGAAGGUGGGGAUGACGUCAAGUCCUCAUGGCCCUUAUAGGUGGGGCUACACACGUCAUACAAUGGCUGGUACAGAGGGUUGCCAACCCGCGAGGGGGAGCUAAUCCCACAAAGCCAGUCGUAGUCCGGAUCGCAGUCUGCAACUCGACUGCGUGAAGUCGGAAUCGCUAGUAAUCGCGGAUCAGAAUGUCGCGGUGAAUACGUUCCCGGGUCUUGUACACACCGCCCGUCACACCAUGGGAGCGGGUUCUGCCA
rnacentral:rRNA from 1 species